CAGGCCCUGGUGUGGUGUAGGUGGCAUCAGCUAGCAGCACAAGACAUUGGAAAACAGCCAAAAGCAAUGUCGUUAAUGUGCCCUCAUUAAUGGGCAGCUGCUUUUGGUCUUUUAAUACACCCCUUCUCUGGAUCAAAAGCGGUUCAAUGACAUGAAAAUGAAAGGCUUACAGCACCAGGUAUUCCCAGGCAGUCUCCCAUCCAAGUACUAACCAAGCCCAGCCCUGCUUAGCUUCCGAGAUCAGACGAGGUCGGGCGUGCUCAGGGUGGUAUGGCCGUAAGCUGCUGGCCCCAGCACAAUGUCUCAAUUUAUGGAUUCAACUGAUUAGGUGGCAAGUACCUGAAGUUACGAA
ensembl:lncRNA